AUGCUCUGGUUUUUCUUCAGAAUGAACAAAUCUUUCGGCCUUUUACUAAAGAUUUCCGUAGAGAGGAGCAAAACUGAGUUUUAUCUCAAUUUUUACAUGCACCGUAUUAUUGGGUUUU